rnacentral:rRNA from 1 species
UACGUAGGGUGCAAGCGUUAAUCGGAAUUACUGGGCGUAAAGCGUGCGCAGGCGGUUGUGCAAGACAGAUGUGAAAUCCCCGGGCUUAACCUGGGAACUGCAUUUGUGACUGCACGGCUAGAGUACGGUAGAGGGGGAUGGAAUUCCGCGUGUAGCAGUGAAAUGCGUAGAUAUCUGGAGGAACACCGGUGGCGAAGGCGGCAUCCUGGACCGACACUGACGCUGAGGAGCGAAAGCCAGGGGAGCAAACGGG